UAAUAAAUCAUUGGUGGAGAAGGGAACAU
rnacentral:piRNA from 2 species